rnacentral:tRNA from 1 species
GCCCGGCUAGCUCAGUCGGUUGAGCAUGAGACUCUUAAUGUCAGGUUUGUGGGUUCGAGCCCUACGUUGGGCG